GAUGAAGAACGCAGCGAAAUGCGAUACUUGGUGUGAAUUGCAGAAUCCCGUGAACCAUCGAGUCUUUGAACGCAAGUUGCGCCCGAAGCCAUUAGGCCGAGGGCACGCCUGCCUGGGCGUCACACGUCGUUGCCCCCCCAUCUACUCCUUCGGGAUUGCGGGGGGCGGAUGAUGGCCUCCCGUGCGCCUCGUCGUGCGGUUGGCAUAAAUGCCAAGUCCUCGGCGACGCACGCCACGACAAUCGGUGGUUGCGAAACCUCGGUUGCCCGUCGUGUGCGGUCGUCGCGCAUCGAGGGCUCGAAAAAAUUGCAGGGCUCUGUUUCGGCUUUCAACGCGACCCCAGGUCAGGCGGGGUUACCCGCUGAAUUUAAGCAUAUCAAUAAGCGGAGGA
rnacentral:misc_RNA from 1 species